rnacentral:rRNA from 1 species
CCUACGGGUGGCAGCAGUGAGGAAUAUUGGUCAAUGGGCGGAAGCCUGAACCAGCCAAGUAGCGUGCAGGAUGACGGCCCUACGGGUUGUAAACUGCUUUUAUACGGGAAUAACGCGCCUUACGUGUAGGGCUUUGCAUGUACCGUAUGAAUAAGGACCGGCUAAUUCCGUGCCAGCAGCCGCGGUAAUACGGAGGGUCCGGGCGUUAUCCGGAUUUAUUGGGUUUAAAGGGAGCGUAGGCGGCAUGUUAAGCGUGCUGUGAAAUGUUCGGGCUCAACCCGAGCAUUGCAGUGGGAACUGGCGGGCUUGAGUCCACGGGAGGCAGGCGGAAUUCGUGGUGUAGCGGUGAAAUGCUUAGAUAUGACGAAGAACCCCGAUUGCGAAGGCAGCUUGCUGCAGCGGAACUGACGCUGAUGCUCGAAAGCGCGGGUAUCGAACAGGAUUAGAUACCCGGGUAGUC